rnacentral:rRNA from 1 species
UACGUAGGGACCAAGCGUUGUCCGGAAUCAUUGGGCGUAAAGAGCGUGUAGGCGGCUUGUUAAGUCUUGCGUGAAAUCUCGGGGCUCAACCCCGAGCGGUCGUGAGAAACUGGCAGGCUAGAGUGCGGGAGAGGAGAGUGGAAUUCCUGGUGUAGCGGUGAAAUGCGCAGAUAUCAGGAAGAACACCGGUGGCGAAGGCGGCUUUCUGGACAGUAACUGACGCUGAGGCGCGAAAGCUAGGGGAGCAAACAGG